GGCCGGCUGCCUUCAAAUGCAGCUUGGCUGUGACACACAGUGGGAAAAAGCAGGACUAACCCUGCCAGGUCCUAGAAGCUUUCAGAUUCAUCGCAUAGAAUUUGAUACAUACGGCAAAGCACCUUGAAAAUGAAUCAUCUGUAUUUUCUCCUUACAAUCACUCCCUCCCAGGACAUGUAAUUAAUUUCCUGAGCUUUGAAAAAAAAAAUC
rfam:Rattus norvegicus strain BN; Sprague-Dawley chromosome 2 CRA_213000034390223, whole genome shotgun sequence.